UCAUCUUGUGUAUUGUGCAGGUGCAACACACUACCACUAGAUGGCACUGUAGUACACAAUAUAUGAAAAGGAGCAAGAGGUUAUUGGAGGAAAAGCUGCACAGCCUGUGUUACACCCGCGACCAGAUGAUCGCCCUGAGGUACCCGAGCAACCUGACUGGAGAGAGACCCUCCAUACCGGAGAGCUGAGGAGACGGCGAGGCUGCAGAGCGGGGGUUAAACGGAGGAUGAAGAAGAGGAGGUUUAAUCCCUACAAACGUGGCUACACGAGUAGAUACCGGACUCCAACGUCACCAUUCCCGGUUUCCAGACGGUUCGAGACGUCAGGGACAGCACCGCAACCGGCAUGAAGAAAGGAGGGGGACUGUCCGUGCUCAUAAACAACAGGUGGUGUAACGCCGGGCACGGUGUGUGAAAGAGCGUCUGCAGCCCGGACAUCGAGCUGUCGCCGUCGGACGUCGUCCCUGUUGUCUGCCACGAUGGCUUUCCAGUGUUGUCGCCAUCACUGUCUAUGUUCCUCACAGUGGUCUUCAUCAUCACCGUCACUGUUUACAUUUAUGAUGUCUUAUUUAUUCUCCUGUACAGCACUUUGGUCAACUUUGGUUGUUUUUAAAGUGCUUAACAAAUAAAGUUGGAUUGGAUUGGA